UUCAAUGUUGUCCAAAACUAAAACCAUUUUGUUGUUGUUGUAGACUUUUUGGUAUUCAAUUGGACUAAAGUAAACAUCAUGGUUGACUAUUCCUCUUAAGGAUAUCGGCUCAAAGAUAUAAACCUUAAUAAAGUGAAAAUCAACAUUUCUGAAGA